GACGAACGCUGGCGGCGUGCUUAAUACAUGCAAGUCAACGACUUUUAAGAUAGCAAUAUUUUAAGGGGAGUGGCGCACGGGUGAGUAACACGUAGGCAAUCUACCUUUAGGACUGACACAACUCGUCGAAAGACGGGCUAAUAUCAGAUAAUGCAGCGGCUCCGCAAGGAGACAGUUGUUAAAAGUACAAGCGCCUGAAGAUGAGCCUGCGGUCCAUUAGCUAGUUGGUAGAGUAACGGCCUACCAAGGCAACGAUGGAUAGCUGGUCUGAGAGGAUGAUCAGCCACACUGGAACUGAGACACGGUCCAGACUCCUACGGGAGGCCAGCAGUAAGGAAUAUUGCUCAAUGGCCGAAAGGCUGAAGCAGCAACGCCGCGUGAAGGAUGAAUGGCCUUUGGCCUGUAAACUUCUGUAAAAGAGGAAAAAUAGUUAGGUAUAUACCUAAUGUGAUUGUACUCUUGAAGUAAGCCCCGGCUAACUACGUGCCAGCAGCCGACGG
rnacentral:rRNA from 1 species